rnacentral:rRNA from 1 species
UACGAAGGGGGCUAGCGUUGUUUCGGAAUACUGGGCGUAAAGCGUGCGUAGGCGGUUCGUUAAGUCUGUCGUGAAAGCCCUGGGCUCAACCUGGGAAUUGCGAUGGAUACUGGCGAGCUAGAGUACGGUAGAGGAUGGUGGAAUUCCCGGUGUAGCGGUGAAAUGCGUAGAGAUCGGGAGGAACACCCGUGGCGAAGGCGGCCAUCUGGACCAGUACUGACGCUGAGGCACGAAAGCGUGGGGAGCAAACAGG